rnacentral:rRNA from 1 species
AUUGAACGCUGGCGGCAGGCCUAACACAUGCAAGUCGAGCGGAUGAAGGGAGCUUGCUCCUGGAUUCAGCGGCGGACGGGUGAGUAAUGCCUAGGAAUCUGCCUGGUAGUGGGGGAUAACGUCCGGAAACGGGCGCUAAUACCGCAUACGUCCUGAGGGAGAAAGUGGGGGAUCUGGACCUCACGCUAUCAGAUGAGCCUAGGUCGGAUUAGCUAGUUGGUGGGGUAAAGGCCUACCAAGGCGACGAUCCGUAACUGGUCUGAGAGGAUGAUCAGUCACACUGGAACUGAGACACGGUCCAGACUCCUACGGGAGGCAGCAGUGGGGAAUAUUGGACAAUGGGCGAAAGCCUGAUCCAGCCAUGCCGCGUGUGUGAAGAAGGUCUUCGGAUUGUAAAGCACUUUAAGUUGGGAGGAAGGGCAGUAAGUUAAUACCUUGCUGUUUUGACGUUACCAACAGAAUAAGCACCGGCUAACUUCGUG